rnacentral:rRNA from 1 species
GACGAACGCUGGCGGCGUGCUUAACACAUGCAAGUCGAACGGAAAGGCCUUUUCGGCGGUACUCGAGUGGCGAACGGGUGAGUAACACGUGGGUGAUCUGCCCUGCACUCUGGGAUAAGCCCGGGAAACUGGGUCUAAUACCGGAUAGGACCGCACUUUAGUGUGUGUGGUGGAAAGUUUUUUCGGUGUAGGAUGAGCCCGCGGCCUAUCAGCUUGUUGGUGGGGUAAUGGCCUACCAAGGCGGCGACGGGUAGCCGGACUGAGAGGUUGGUCGGCCACAUUGGGACUGAGAUACGGCCCAGACUCCUACGGGAGGCAGCAGUGGGGAAUAUUGCACAAGGGGCGCAAGCCUGAUGCAGCGACGCCGCGGGGGGGAUGACGGCCUUCGGGUUGUAAACUCCUUUCGCCAGGGACGAAGCGUUUUGUGACGGUACCUGGAGAAGAAGCACCGGCUAACUACGUG